GAGCGCGUGCGCGAAUACGCUUGGCAAUGCUCGUUCGCAGCCAGUCCAGAGAAGGCGGCGCGCCGGGUUGCGCGCUCGCCCGCCGUCCGCUCGCUCCCCGAAACCGCCGCGGAACUUAUCAAUAAAACGCUCCCAGGAAUGUCGUAAAAACGCUGUGCUAAGCCGUAACAUGUCAAUUUAGCCCUAUUACCUUUGUAGUGUGUGAGGAACUCGUGAAAUUAGCUGCCCGUAGUGUCUUCCUUUCGUAACCAGUGGGGAGUGCAAUUGUUUUGUUAAGGUCGAAAAUAUGGCGGGAAGCUGAAAAGUAGCAUGUAAAUAAUUAGGUCUAUUAAAAA